UACGGGGGGGGUAAGCGUUGUUCGGAAUUACUGGGCGUAAAGGGCUCGUAGGCGGCCAACUAAGUCAGACGUGAAAUCCCUCAGCUUAACUGGGGAACUGCGUCUGAUACUGGAUGGCUUGAAUCCGGGAGAGGGAUGUGGAAUUCCAGGUGUAGCGGUGAAAUGCGUAGAUAUCUGGAGGAACACCGGUGGCGAAGGCGGCAUCCUGGACCGGUAUUGACGCUGAGGCGCGAAAGCCAGGGGAGCAAACGGG
rnacentral:rRNA from 1 species